AUACUUACCUGGCGGGGGAGAUAUCAUGAUGAAGGUGGUUUUCCCCAGGGCGAGAUUUAUUCAUUGUACUCCAGAAUGCUGACCCUGUGAUUUCCCCAAAUGUGUGAAACUCAACCACACAAUUUGUGAUAAUGGGGGACUGUAUUUGCACUUUCUCUGC
rnacentral:snRNA from 1 species